rnacentral:ncRNA from 18 species
GCGGAGACGCAUGUUUCCGUUCACUCCUCACACCACACUCCGCCCGGACUACUGUUCGGGCGGUU